rnacentral:lncRNA from 1 species
CACUGAGUUUUUGAGUCUGAAUGAUAGUAACCCUAGCUACUCAGCUUAGGUGGUAGAGAAGGCUAUGGUUAGGUUAGGUUGAUGUAUAUGUUCUGCCUUAUUCAUUAUUGUUUCAGUUGUUGUAUUCAGCUCUGAAGACUUGAAAGCCAGAUCUAGCUAAUAGGUUAUCGUCCUAUGUGAAGAUGGAGGAGUACAGGUGGUUCAAGAGUAGCAAUACAGAAGAUGAAAGGUGCAGCAACAGGAAGUAGUGCCAUAUGCUGGUAAUUUCAUUUGCUAAAGAGG